CGGGUAAAGUACGUAACUGUACGUUUUGGGAUGUGCCUGUGGCUUAUCAGGUUGUUGGUAGGGUAACGGCCUACCAAGCCUAUGACGAGUAGCUGGUCUUAGAGGAUGGACAGCCAGAGGGGGACUGAGACACGGCCCCCACUCCUACGGGAGGCAGCAAUCAGGAAUAGUCGGCAAUGGGCGAAAGCCUGACCGCGCGACGCCGCGUGUAGGAUUAAGUUCUAACGAGCGUAAACUACUGUGGUAAGGGAAGAAGUCCCGACUUUGUCGGGAUUGACGGUACCUUACUAGAAAGGGGCCGCUAACUGCGUGCCAGAAGCGUCGGUAAUACGUGGGCCCCGAACAUUAUCCGGUUUUACUGGGUGUAAAAAGUAGUGUAGGUGUUCUGUUAAGUUUUGUUUCAAAUUCUACGGCCUAACCGUAGACAGGGGCAAAAUACUAACAGAAUAGAGUUUUCUUUAGGGAGAUUGGAACUCAGGGAGGAGUAGUGAAAUGCGUUGAUACCCUGGGGAACACCAGUGGCGAAAGCGAAUCUCUGGAAGAUAACUGACACUGAGACACGAAAGCUAGGGGAGCGAAGCCAAGGUUGAAACUCAAAGGAAUUGGCGGGGAGGCACACAACCAGUGGAACAUGUGGUUCAAUUCGAAACGAACCGAAGAACCUCACCAGGGUUUGACAUAACGAUGAUCGCCCGCGAAAUCGGGCUUUCCGCAAGGACAUCGCUACAGGUGCUGCAUGGCUGUCGUCAGCUCGUUCCGUGAGGAGUGCCCUUAAGUGGGACAACGAGCGCAACCCCCAUCUUGUGUUAAAUCUAUCACGAGAGACUGCCCUGACUUUUAGUCGGGGAGGAAGGAGGGGCAGACGUCAAGUCAGCAUGGUCCUUAUACCCUGGGCUACACACAUGUUACAAUGGGAAGUAACAACGGGCAUUGCCAGACGGUAACGUCGAGCAAAUCCCUUAAAUCUUCCCUCAGUGGGGAUUGAGGUCUGCAACCCGACCUCAUGAACGCGGAAUGGGGGUUAAGUCGUAACAAGGUAACCGUUCUGGAAGGAGCGGUUGGAUCACCUCCUUU
rfam:Microgenomates (Roizmanbacteria) bacterium GW2011_GWA2_35_19 TR68_C0014, whole genome shotgun sequence.